rfam:Aptenodytes forsteri contig18047, whole genome shotgun sequence.
CAGGCUGGGUUGUCAUGCGACUGCCUGUCUGUGCCUGCUGUACAGGUGAGAGGAUGGUUUGGACAACAAGAGUAGGAGAGGAUGUUCUGCACAGCAAGUGUAGACAGGCAGACACAUGACAACUCCGUC